rnacentral:rRNA from 1 species
CCUACGGGUGGCAGCAGUGGGGAAUAUUGGACAAUGGACCAAAAGUCUGAUCCAGCAAUUCUGUGUGCACGAUGACGUUUUUCGGAAUGUAAAGUGCUUUCAGUUGGGAAGAAAAAAAUGACGGUACCAACAGAAGAAGUGACGGCUAAAUACGUGCCAGCAGCCGCGGUAAUACGUAUGUCACAAGCGUUAUCCGGAUUUAUUGGGCGUAAAGCGCGUCUAGGUGGUUAUGUAAGUCUGAUGUGAAAAUGCAGGGCUCAACUCUGUAUUGCGUUGGAAACUGCAUGACUAGAGUACUGGAGAGGUAAGCGGAACUACAAGUGUAGAGGUGAAAUUCGUAGAUAUUUGUAGGAAUGCCGAUGGGGAAGCCAGCUUACUGGACAGAUACUGACGCUAAAGCGCGAAAGCGUGGGUAGCAAACAGGAUUAGAUACCCCAGUA